UUUUAGAGGUGAAAAAUGAUAUAAAUACUGUUUGGUUUCUCACACAAACCGAUCGUUUCAUGUCUUAGGACAUCAAUGUGUCGUCACGAGCCGCAGGGUUUAAUUUGGAUUUGUCUGUGCAUGUUUUUUUUUACUCUUAUAGAUGGAGUUCCCAUUGACAUGCAUUAUACGACUGACAGACCGCAACGGUUGGAGUUAAAAUCAUCAUUUGUGUUCUACUGAAGAAACAAACUCACCUACAUCUUGGAUGCCCUGGGGAUUCAGCCGCAUUAAAACAUCAGCUUCAGUAAUGUGUGAGCCUCAGGGUCCCAUACGGUGAGGGCCGUCCUUGUGUACGCUCAUCACAGCUUCUUCUGGUGCAUGCUUAUGAACACAUCAUGAGGGGUGAGAAGGUAGAAUAAUGCCACUGCGUGCCACUCUGUGACAGCUUGGACACACCUGCCGGUUCCCAUCAUGCAUCUCACGUUCCUUCUCCUUCAUCUCUACCUAAUUAAGAUUCCAUGCAUCUCAGAACGCUGUGCUCUGACCUUGCCUGCUCCGAUGCAGCCUCUGCAUGGAAACUGUGGCCCGUACGGUAUCAUGAGGACAUGGUCCAGUCAGGCGGAAUAUUGAUUCAGAGCAGAUAUUGAUCGCGUAUACAACACUCCAUUAACUUCUCUCGCAUGAACACAAUGCAAGUUAACACCUUGUGCCUGCUGUUAUGAGUACUGCUCUACAGUUCCAUAUAGUAGCACUUUAACAUUACAUUGAUUACAUGUCAGUAUAAUUAAUAACAAUGGUAACUAGAUUUGCAUUUCCUGAAGGAAAUACUAGUGCUUGUACGAUAAAAUAACAGUAUUAUAAAUAGUUACAUAUAUACAAGAAUGACAAGAUCACAAUUCAGUAUGCAAAUAUUAUGACGUCUUUAAAUGUUGAACAUUUCUGUGGUGGAGAUUUUGCUACUCAACGACUUAAAGAGGACCUAUUAUGCCCUUUUACAAAGUCUUGAUUUUGUUUUGGGGUACACUAGAAUAGGUUUUGUUGCUUUAUUGUAAAACAAAAAAAAAACCCACUUUUUUUUUUUACAUUAUUGCAGCACCUCUCUUCCCAGUCUGUCAGUAAUGCUGUUUAGUUCUCGUCUCAAUGAAGCUCCUCCUUCUGAAAAGCGCAAUGUCCUUAGAUUGGUCGGCUGGACCAAUGUGUUGUGAUUGGUCAAAUGCUUCAAGCGUGUUUCAGAAAUGUCACGCCCCUUAGCAUAAGUGUGAAUUUCCACACACCAGGUGUGUUCGACAUUGGCUGCGGCUAGAUGCAACUGAUUGGCGAGAGUAGCCGCGUGCAGUCAGAGUGGUGCUGAAAACGGAGAUAUGAAGUUGUACACUUUCUGCUUCUCGUAGUGACAGCGUGAGCGUUUGCAUACUUUAUCACAGCUGAAGUGAAAUAAAUGCAAUAUUUGACUAAUACACAGAUGUUUCAGAGAGAUUGUCAUUCAAUACUUUAUGUACUGCUUACAGCGUCUUUUUACAAGAAUAAAGUUCAACAUAAGCAUAUAUUAUUUAAAUACCAAUGUAGUGGGGUCUAUAAAUGUAGUGGGGUCUAUAUAUUGAUAAACAUGACACAAUACAACAUCGCGACUACAUGAAAAGAGCUUUAACUGUUAUAAAAAUACAGAUUUUUGAGCAUUAAUGGAACUGAAGGUGUGAGAAUAAACACGAAACACGUUAUCGUGCAAUGAAUCCGUCCAGUCGUGAAACAGCUGUGUCGUCAUCAGAGCUUGUGCAGCCGCUCUUGAGAAGCUGCGCAGAAUGAACCAGCCGGCUGCUCUCGAAUCGCUCUCGUGGCACUUUUAUGCCUUACGUCACAGUCACAUGGCGUCGGCAUGUCGGUCUGUACAGAGCUGCAUGAAGUCGAACAAGCCUACUACUAACGCAACUGGACCAGGCCUCGCCCCUUUUUUUGUGUGUCUUGGGUGGGAAUUAUUUAAAUUGGGGAAUAUUGAGACUAUUGAGACUAUUGAGGAAUGAGGAAUAUUGAGAAUGUUCAAUCCUGGAAGAAAACUCAAGACUACAGCCAAGGCAUUUCAGGAGUUCAGAAACAGUGCUUACUGAUAUAGAGAAUAACUCCCUUUGGAGUGGAAUUUGUGCUUUGUAAGUUUUCAGACCUUUUUCAUGCUCAAACAUCAACACUACACACUGAACUAGUUGAAAAUAUAAAAAGCAUAAUAGGUCCUCUUUAAAUCUUUUGAAACUGUUCACCAAAGAGAUUUGUUCAGAUUCAUUUACUGAUUGUUACAUCGGUGAGUGUCUUUUUGAGUGUUAUGAGUGAGUCACUGAAUCAUUCGCCAACCACAUCGAUUAUGACUGUAACCAGUCUUAUUAUGCUUUAUUAAAAAAAAAGGAUUUUGA